rnacentral:rRNA from 2 species
CGGCGGAACACGUGAAAUUCCGUCGGAAUCCGGGAGGACCAUCUCCCAAGGCUAAAUACUCCCUAGUGACCGAUAGUGAACCAGUACCGUGAGGGAAAGGUGAAAAGCACCCCGGAAGGGGAGUGAAACAGUUCCUGAAACCGUGUGCCUACAAGUAGUUAGAGCCCGUUAAUGGGUGAUAGCGUGCCUUUUGUAGAAUGAACCGGCGAGUUACGAUUUGUUGCAAGGUUAAGCGGAAAAAGCGGAGCCGUAGCGAAAGCGAGUCUGAAUAGGGCGCAUAAGUAACAGGUCGUAGACCCGAAACCAGGUGAUCUACCCAUGUCCAGGAUGAAGGUAAGGUAAUACUUACUGGAGGUCCGAACCCACGCACGUUGAAAAGUGCGGGGAUGAGGUGUGGGUAGCGGAGAAAUUCCAAUCGAACUUGGAGAUAGCUGGUUCUCUCCGAAAUAGCUUUAGGGCUAGCCUCGAGGUAAAGAGUCAUGGAGGUAGAGCACUGUUUGGACUAGGGGCCCUUCUCGGGUUACCGAAUUCAGAUAAACUCCGAAUGCCAUGUACUUAUACUCGGGAGUCAGACUGCGAGUGAUAAGAUCCGUAGUCGAAAGGGAAACAGCCCAGACCACCAGUUAAGGUCCCCAAAUAUAUGUUAAGUGGAAAAGGAUGUGGGGUUGCUUAGACAACCAGGAUGUUGGCUUAGAAGCAGCCACCAUUGAAAGAGUGCGUAAUAGCUCACUGGUCGAGUGACCCCGCGCCGAAAAUGUACCGGGGCUAAACAUAUUACCGAAACUGUGGAUGAACCUCUUUAGAGGUUCGUGGUAGGAGAGCGUUCUAAGGGCGGUGAAGUCAGACCGGAAGGACUGGUGGAGCGCUUAGAAGUGAGAAUGCCGGUAUGAGUAGCGAAAGAAGGGUGAGAAUCCCUUCCACCGAAUAUCUAAGGUUUCCUGAGGAAGGCUCGUCCGCUCAGGGUUAGUCGGGACCUAAGCCGAGGCCGAUAGGCGUAGGCGAUGGACAACAGGUAGAGAUUCCUGUACCAGUGCUAAUUGUUUAACCGAUGGGGUGACACAGAAGGAUAGGGAAUCGCACGAAUGGAAAUGUGCGUCCAAGCAGUGAGUGUGAGA